AACGAACGCUGGCGGCAGGCCUCAAACAUGCAAGUCUAGGGGGUGUAGCAAUACAUCACCGGCGGACGGGUGCGUAACACGUGGGAAUAUACCUUUUGGUUCGGAACAACGCAGGGAAACUUGCGCUAAUACCGAAUGUGCCCUUACGGGGAAAGAUUUAUCGCCAAAGGAUUAGCCCGCGUAGGAUUAGCUAGUUGGUGAGGUAAUGGCUCACCAAGGCUCCGAUCCUUAGCUGUUCUGAGAGGAAGAUCAGCCACACUGGGACUGAGACACGGCCCAGACUCCUACGGGAGGCAGCAGUUGGGAAUCUUGGACAAUGGGGGAAACCCUGAUCCAGCCAUGCCGCGUGAGUGAUGAAGGCCUUCGGGUUGUAAAACUCUUUCGUACGGGGACGAGUAAUGACGGUACCCGUAGAAGAAGCUCCGGCUAACUUCGUGCCAGCAGCCG
rnacentral:rRNA from 1 species